GAUGAAGAACGUAGCGAAAUGCGAUAAGUAGUGUGAAUUGCAGAAUUCAGUGAAUCAUCGAAUCUUUGAACGCACAUUGCGCCCUUUGGUAUUCCUUAGGGCAUGCCUGUUCGAGCGUCAUUUGAACCCUCAAGCUCAGCUUGGUGUUGGGUGUCUGUCCCCGCCUCCGCGGGGACUCGCCUCAAAAUCAUUGGCGGCCGGUACGUUGGCUUCGAGCGCAGCAGAAACGCGAACUCGAGGCCCGGCGGAUCGGCGACCAGAAGUCUCUUCUUCACAGUUUGACCUCGGAUCAGGUAGGGAUACCCGCUGAACUUAAGCAUAUCAAUAAGCGGAGGA
rnacentral:misc_RNA from 1 species